AACGGUCUAUACCUGCGGUACCUGCGGAGGGAUCAUUACAGGACUCGCAAGACUCCUACAACCCUGUGAACCUACUAUACGAACGUUGCUUCGGCGGGUGCGCCCCGGGGAUUCGUUCCCGCGGCGCGUCAGCCCGCCGGCAGCCUACAAAUUCUGUUUCUUUGCGUUGGCAUCUCGAGAAAAACAAAUAAGUUAAAACUUUUAACAAUGGAUCUCU
rnacentral:misc_RNA from 1 species